ensembl:lncRNA
CAGAAACCCUCUACCAUUGUAGCUACUUAAAAAUAAUGGAAAUGCUAGUCAUUGCAAAUGCAAAUUCUGACUUGAGCUGACACCUUGACUUCACUGCAUGGGUGGACACAGAAGAGUCGUGCAAUAUUACCUUCAGCCUUCUCUCAAAGACAUCCUCCCUUGGAUUGGUGGUCUCCAUCCAAUGCUGUGAUAAAAAGUCCCGUGUUAUGAUCACGCUGCGUGCGGUUAAUAGGAUGACUCCAUCAGAGCUGAGCUAUUCCUUCUGGCAGAAGUGUAGUGGGUAUUGGAAGGUCAUCAUGUGUUGGUUGUACCUCCUGUGCCCAAGGAGGGCUUGUGUCCUAAUUCCCACCACAGCUACGCAUUCUGCAGCAGGUCUGAUGCUGUGGCAGGGUACGUUUGAGUUAUGCAGAUAAUGGCCAAAUCUUGCAGGUUUAAGGUAACUUCAAUGAAACUGUGUCUGUUUGCAUCAAAGGAAAGCUUCGUCCGUGAUGUGCAUUAUACCCAUCGAUGCUUUCUGAAAAUCUGACCUUGUCACUCUGUGCUGCACAGUACAGUAGGAAUUCACUUUAAAUAAAGUCAAGAUUACACACAGGAGGAAUAAUCGUGGGCAGUUAGGUAUACAUUUUAGUUGCAUAUAGCAGACAUUAUUAUCUACUUUAAAAUUGUAUAUUUUCAUGAGAUACCAUGUUAGGCCAGUGAUUUGCAGGCAAGAGAAAGAGAAAGAUUCCUUCCCUGCUGCUUUCUGGCUUGCAGAAGCCCGGUGGCUGUGAGGUCUAGUCCAGCCUCAACCAAUUUUAUUUUGUAUUUGUUUUCAUUACUGAGCAUGCUUCACGUUCUCUUCUUCAGCUCAGCCUCAUUUUUUUUCACUUUCUGUAUCAGGAAACUGGACAAAGUCAACUCAGCUGGCAGCAGGAUUCAGACUUUUAUUAAGCCAGAAAUCAUCUCAAGUUCUCUGCAGCAGAUUGUGAAACCAGAAAUAUACUCUACAAGGCAGAAGUUUUUUGCUAUGUGUGAAGAAGAAAGAUAUGGUGAACUUGUAUGUUUCUCAGCCAUCUGAGCUGUAAAUUUGCACCUUUACAAUCCUCUCAGAGAAUCUGUUAAUAACUUUUUGGAAGCUAUUCUGCUAGUCUUAGAAGACAGGAAGAUUGGACCCUGCCUGCACUGCAGAGGAAAGGAAAGAGCCUCGGGACAUUUGACUUUGCAAACUCUUUGUGAGGGUUUUAUUUCCCAGUUUUCAGAAGGAGCCUUCAUCCAGUCCUUGUGUGCAUUCAGAGCAGUAUUUCUGGUCGUUGUUUUGCACAGGUACCUCUGGUCAUCUCUAAGUGCAGAAAUUACACUUGUGCAUGCAGAAGUGAAGGCUAUAUUUUAUAACUAUAGUUCUUCUAAUAUAAUUUCCUUAUGGUUUAUGUAGCACUUAAUUUUGCCUAUUUGCCAGGAUAACAUUAGGUAUUAGUAUCACCACUACUCUUAUUUAGCUGAGAAAAUUUUAAUGGCAAUGUUACUGAUUUCCUCAUUCUUUAAAAAAAAAAAAAAAAAAAAAAAAAAAAGUUAUUUGGUAAUAAUUUUUGCAGCAUGCUUUUGCUCGUAGUCUUCUGCUUUCCCUGUGCUUAGCUUUGUUGGUGCUUUAUUGUUUGUUUUUCUUCUGCAUGGCUCAGCUUAGUGAAAAGACAGAGUCAACCCUGCCUGGCUGCAAUAAGCUAUGCACUGGUGUAUGACAUUAAGUGUACACACAAGAAUGUAAGAUGCCAAUGAAAACAAACCCAGUUUUGUACAGAUUAGGUAAUGAUAGUAGCUACCAUACAGCAGGAGUGGUUAAUCCAUAAUCCAGUACUUGGCUAAUAACCUAAAAAUACUGUUUUUCUUCAAACUUCAGAUUUGCCAGAAUAACAAAACCACCGAGCGACUUAGAUAGAACUUGGAAGGAAGAACUAGGAAAACACACUUGAAAAUAUGGGGUAUGUUGUUAAAACCAUAGAUCGUAAAGAGAUAGCUGUGUCAAGUCCUUUCAAAAAUAAUAUGCCUUCAUCUUAUGUCUUAAUGUAAGGCUGACUUUUGUAGCAGAUGUUCUGGGAGCCCUCCCUCCCUUACUCAAUGACAGAAGCCAUACCAGUGCUCCUAGAGAGGUUUACCUUUCAGAAUUGACAAGUGUUAAAAGAAAAGAGGGGUGAGAACAGGUUUAUAAUCUACAUCGCAGAUAUGUGGGAAAGGGUUUUAAAAUAUACUGUGUAAGGGAGAGGAGAAAAAUCAGACACAUUAAAUAAAAUCUUUAUAAAUAGUAACA